CAAGAAGGCCCAAAAUGUCCCAAAAGUUCACAGAAAUGCUGCAAAGCUUGGCAAAAACUUUGUUCUUUUUGCUGCGUGGUUUAAUAAGGUCGUAUUGUUCCAAAGUUUUGGAUAUAUCAGCAAAAAUGUCUUCAUCAAGAAUAGGGUCCUUGAAGUUAUUUCCGUACAUUGACUCUCUAGAUUUCUUCUUUUUCAGGGUGUAGGAAGAAGUGGAGGGGCUCUUGGUCAACGCCAUAUUAAACUUGUGACAAUUUAAUGUUUUUGUUUUUAUUUAUUUAUUCUCCGCUGUCAUUGUUAUGAUCCAUCAUAAGUGUCAAGAAAAACAUGAUUGUGUGCCAAAUUUUUGUACUUGUAACAUAAAAUGGUGGAACAAGAUAUCGUCAUAACUUCCAUUGAUUUAAAACUCCCUCCCGAUCCCGAAGAAGAAUACGUGACCCCAUACAACUCGUUUUUGGCCAUUGUAAUAAGUUUUAUGUUGUGGGCCAUUUUCUACCAAUGUAUGCGUUUUCUUCUACCUUCAAAAUGUCGGGAGUACCACUGCCGCCUUCUUAGUUUUCUGCAUGGUAUUAUAUCUGCGUUUGUUGGGGUCAAUCAGUGCUUCAUCAUCGACGUGCCGUUUCAACAUCCAGAAUGGCGGACCACCAGUAGCCAAAGAUUCUUAAUGGUAUGCAGUUUGGGUUACUUUAUUCAUGACUUAGGAUGGAUCCUUUUGUAUGACAGAAACUCAAAACUGAUGAUCGCUCACCACGUAUACAGUGCUUUUGCGCUACAGAGGAUGCUUUACAAGCCGAAUUCGGGGGCUCAAGCCACCUGCGCCCUGGGAUGCAUGGAAAUUACAAAUCCGCUUUUGCAGACUCGAUGGUUUUUGCGAAGUGAAGGUUUUUACCCGUCAUCGGUCUUUACUUCCGUGGAACUUACCUUUUUCCUCGUUUUCUUUCUGGGAAGAAUAAUGACGCCACUUCAAUUAAUGGAUGGUAUUAGUGUAACUACGAUCAGAUGGAAUUCACUUUAUGACAAAUACUUAUUGAUGGAAUUUAUUGUCGAGCCGAUACAAAAAGUAACGCCAUUUCUCUUCCGAGUGUAGUCACCAACCCAGCAACUAAGGAGGGACUCGACCAAUUUGCAAUUUAAAUGGUGCAAUAAUUGCAGAAUCGUUAAGGUGGUGCCAUAUUAGAUCAAUUAAUCUCUUACUUCAUAAUAAAUUCCGCAUUUAUAAAUACGCGAGAGCCGCUUGCAUCUUCAUCAAGCUUGAAUAACAAGUAUUAAAUUAAAUAAAAUGCAAACACUGUGAUUCAUGUUUAAUAAUACUUUAGAAGCAGAGUUAAUUUAUGCAUAAAUGGAUGAAUCAAGCAUACAAUUAAUAAACAUAGAUAUAUUUUUGUGACCACCGUUGUUUUUAGCAUGAAAUGACAGUUCAAUCUGAUGCACAAUACCGAUAACCUAAAGUUUGAAUCAUUUUUAGUGUUCUGAUUAAUAAGAAUAUGUAGAUCAAAGAAUGUGUUUAGUGGUCACAGAUUGCCCUCUAAAAUCGGAGCUAAAAAAUGUUUCUGGAUUUCUGGGUUUUUGUAAAAACGAGAAACGCAUUAGCAAAGAUCCUGCAUUUGCUUCAACAAAAUAAGAAGAGUUUGGGAAUGAACCUGAGGUUUUAUCCAUAAAUGGAAAACGAAAUGAAGACGCGACAAAAAGAAAGGAAAAGAGGAAGAAUUUUUAGUACGGAUGUAGACCUGAUCUCGAUUCCUUGAACCUAAUUCCUACAAGGAUUAACGCUACAAGUGAUCCCCAUGGAAUGACAUUCUUCAGUGUUGUAAUUGUUUUGUUUCUAUAAAAUUCUGUAGUGCUCUAAUGCAAAGUAAAUGCUACUUUUUUAGCUUGGUAA